UUGUUCUCCCCUCCAGGUUCCCACUUAGGAAGCCAGUUCAGAAGCCUCGCACGUGGUCUGUGGGGAAGUGCCUUUGGCACGAUCUGAGGGGCCGUCCCCCCACCCAGCUCCAGCUUCACCUCAGGGUUCGGGUUUUCACUUGCUGCAGCACAAUGAAUUCCUCCUUCACUUUCUGCACUCAAAACAAACACUGGUUUCAGGCAUUCAGCUUUUCGAACGCUUGCAGAGCUGAGAGUGGAAAAAAUAACAUGUGAAACAGGAUGGGCUUUUGAUGAUCCCUCCUUCUGACAGACACAUCUGAAAACCACCGCCGGCAUGGCUCUAAGCAUGUGUACUUAAUCCCCACGGCCAUUCCGGGAGCAGAUGCAGUCGCUCACUCCGCUGCGCCCGGAGGAGACUGCGCAGAAGAUGCGCAGCCGGCAAAGCGCGGAGACGGGCUGAGCACCCAGCCUUUCGCCCAGACUCCAGGUGCUCGGCUUCUAAGUACGGGGCGGUGCCUUCCAGAUCCCCAGGACAGGCCGCCCGUGCCGGCAGUCCUCCCGGGGCAGGGGGUCCUUGCAGUGUCAGCGGUGGUGCACAGCAGGGGAAGGUGAAUUAGAAAGUUCUGUUCAUCCUGCUGGCCUCGCACCAUCUGAGUCCUGACCACGUGAAGUCAAGUUUUGAGCUAAGAAUUUGGAAGAGCCAGAAACACAUACAAGCCUGCAUGCUCGGCUUAGGCCGUGACCACGCGAGCCGGCGAGAGCUGAUGCCUGGAAAUACUUUUGCUGCCGUUUUCCAAGAGUGGAGAGGACCUCACGCAGAGGAGAGGAAACUGUCCCUGACCCUGCAGAAAUGAAAAAGGAUGCUCCCCCCACACACCAAUGUCUGCCUGACUUGCCCACAAUGACAGAGGCCAGACACCAUGCCUGGGGACUGCCCCCCAUCCCCUCCAUCUUUUCAGAGCUCGGUCCAAGAUGCAACUUCUAGGCCCCUGUUGGCAAGAUCGACCCUAAACUGCAUCCGUAUCAUCAUCAAGAUGGUCUUCUUCACCAAGAGAGGCUUCUUUCAGUACCUGGGAGGUGGUGAGAGGGGAGGCGCCUGCUCAGAAGAACUCCUGGAGUCUGGAAGGCACAGGAUGAUAGAGGAAGACACUGUAACCAUAUACCCAGGACCAAGUUCUCUGCAAGGCAUCUCCAGAGGCUUCUCAUGGAAGCUGUGGACCUGGAAGGAAACUACUGAACUGGCUCGUGGCUGACACAGUGAGCGCAUUCAUUCAUUCAUUCAUUCAUUCAAGCAACACUUCCGCUGGGAGGUCCCACCGCUUCCCCAGAGAUGUUAGGAGAACGUGUGACGCGGUCCCAGGCCCUGCACUUUAAUGCGUUAUCCCAAGUAACGAACAAUGCUGGCUCGGUUAGGAAUAGAAAGUUGCAAGAUUAUCUGCCUCGAGACCUUGGAUUGCAGAGCCACAUACCCCCAUGUUGUGUUUCUUUGAGGGAAUCAGCCCCUCUCCUGGGAACGCAGACAUCUGACUUCUGGUCGACCACACCCCUGAUGGCUUGCAGUGUCAGCCCUGUGUCUGGCUCACAGUGCACUCAGUGAAUGAACCUCGAGGCACCCCGUUUAUUGCCUGCAAGUUAUAGCUUCCCAAGGAUUAGGAGUAAGAGGAAUAAGCUAUUUACACGAAAUUGCUUUUGAAACACAGAUGAGUUUGAAAUCUAGAAGAAAGGGCGCUUGGCAAGAAAUGUUUGGGAUUUGGCGGAUUCUGCAGCCCAUGUUGUUUGAUGCUUCCAUAAACCAGCUGCUUUCACCCUUCCCUAAACAGCAGCUCCCAAGGGAGCAAGUCAGCCCAGGGCUCUCUGGGCAACAGCCAUUCCCUGAAUAACAGGCAACCUCUUCUGGAGGGCGCAUCCAAUCAGCACGGAGCACGCAGACUCCAGGGGAGUGCAGCUCCCACCCAAAGCGUUUUCCUCCUCUUCGGUCCAUGGUUUCCAUGACAACAGAUCACACAGACACACACACAGACACACAGCAACAGUGUCAGCUCAGCUGAGCAUGUUUCCCGACACUUGACACAACAGAUUCCUCCAAGCAGCAGAGCUGUCUUCCUACCUGGAAUCUCUGGGAGUCCCUGCCUCCAGGGACCCACUGGGGGUUGUGGCACCAGCCACCUGUCCCAUUGACCCUCGCUCUUCUCUUGCCCAGGGCAGUUCUUCAGCAAUCUGUUGCCCAGACUGUCCUCUCCAAGCACACCACGCUUGCCUAAGGUGCCUGGAGAGCCCCAAGCCAAGAAGAUGCUUGCCUCCGAAUCCUCUGAGUCUGGGGUCCCUGACAACCCCUCCGCCAGCCCAUGCCUGGUUCAUAACCAGCUGAAGAACAACACAACCAAGACUCUGCCUUUGACUGCCUGCAAUACAUCAGCCAGAUGAGCGAAGCCACUGGGAUUUCGAGUUCACUAGUUGAACCAGGAUCAGGGGGUUCUGGGUAAAAGUCGGUCAAGCAAAGAGAGCCCCAGCCAAGACCGCAUGAGGAGGGGGCUGUGUCUGGCCGCAGGGCCACUUCUGGAAUUCUGAAUCAGAGUGAGAAAAGGAAGCCUCCUCUUUUAACUCCGCAGAUCCUCGCUAUGUGGUCUUUAAGCCUUGGGAUCAGGGGAGGCCCCAGGCCAAAAUUUCAGGCUUAGGCUUGUGAGUCCAAAUGGGGAGGCUGUCAUUAUGACGAAAAGUGUAUGAAGUUUCCUGGGUGGUUUUUUGUUUGUUUUUGUCCUGAGCCUAUUCAUAGGGUGUAAUACAAUUGUCGGCAGGUUUUAGAAGAGAAAGACCUACGCAGGCAGCAUCGUGCUUGGCACCUGGUAGGAAGUCAGUCCGCAGCAGCUAUUGAUUUUCCUCUCUCUGCGCAGAGCACGGCCUGGCCCCGCCGGCUCGGACUGCGGCGCGUCCCGCGUGCCGCACAGAGAGCGGCCCUUCCCCGAGCUCAGCGGGCUGGGGGCGCGGGUCACCGGCCCUCCCUCUGCAACUGCCUCAGGUCUGACCUGCUCAUGGCGGACCCGCCGGAAGAAAUCAUAUCAGAGGGAGAAGAAAUCCAAUCAGAGUGUUACUUGAGGACCGGGUUAGUCAAAGCUGCUGCUCUUUUCUGGUCUGCUUUAUGAGCGUGUAAGGCAACCCCAGCUCACGGCGGGGUUUCGCAGCGCUCUGUGGCCCGAGCGCAUUCAUUCCAGACAAAGCGCCGGGAGCGCAUCUCGCUCGCCCGGUCACGUGGCGGCCGCCGCAUCCCAAGGUGCGCCGGGCAUUUCCGUGGUGCGCUGCACCUGAGGACCUCAAAGGGCUUAAAGAAAACCCUUUCUUCAGUGGGGAAGUAUUGUUAUCUGGGUUUUCCAGAGAGAGAGAGACCGAGAGGUGACGUGACCUGCUUUAGGACCACACAGUAAGAAGGGGCUGGCGGAGAAGGGGGCCCAGGAGGAGGGCUGGAGCUCCUUGUCCAGGAAAUCACAAACCAGCUUGCACAGAGCCAUCCUGGUCAGGCCCUUGGGGGACUGGCCAGGAGGCUGAACUCCAUUACAAGGGCCAGUGCAGAUGAAAUUCAAAAGCAUCAGCCUGAGGAAGCGUAUGCAAAGAACUGCCUCCUCCUUGAGAGAACAGAACUCUUCCUCGUCAUCAAGACCUCAGAACUCAGGGAGCAGCUGUUUCAGCAGCACCUGCCGGGCACCCAGUAGCGUGUCUCCUGGACUGACCCCCCAGAGAGGACAUUUCACCAUCCCUGCUCCUAUAGGACGUUAUUUUUAGUCAUCGUCAUAAAUGCAGCAACUGUAAUGAUGGGUAGAAAAGGAAAGCAGAGACUUUCCCAACCUUCCUGUAGCCCAUCAGAAAAAUAGAAAGCCCAAUAAAUAUUACAGAACCAA